UACCUCAGUAACGGCGAGUGAAGCGGUAACAGCUCAAAUUUGAAAUCUGGGUCUUUCAGGCUCCGAGUUGUAAUUUGUAGAAGAUGCUUUGGGUGCGGCCCCGGUCUAAGUUCCUUGGAACAGGACGUCAUAGAGGGUGAGAAUCCCGUAUGUGAUCGGUGGCCUGCGCCCGUGUAAAGCUCUUUCGACGAGUCGGGUUGUUUGGGAAUGCAGCUCUAAAUGGGUGGUAAAUUUCAUCUAAAGCUAAAUAUUGGCCAGAGACCGAUAGCGCACAAGUAGAGUGAUCGAAAGAUGAAAAGCACUUUGGAAAGAGAGUUAAACAGUACGUGAAAUUGUUGAAAGGGAAGCGCUUGCAACCAGACUUGCGCGGGGCUGAUCAUCCGGGGUUCUCCCCGGUGCACUCGGCCCCGCUCAGGCCAGCAUCGGUUUCGGUGGUUGGAUAAAGGCCUUGGGAAUGUGACUCCUCUCGGGGAGUGUUAUAGCCCUCGGUGCAAUGCAGCCUACCGGGACCGAGGACCGCGCUUCGGCUAGGAUGCUGGCGUAAUGGUUGUAAGCGACCCGUCUUGAAACACGGACCAAGGAGUCUAACAUCUAUGCGAGUGUUUGGGUGUCAAACCCAUACGCGUAAUGAAAGUGAACGGAGGUGAGAACCCUUAAGGGUGCAUCAUCGACCGAUCCUGAUGUCUUCGGAUGGAUUUGAGUAAGAGCAUAGCUGUUGGGACCCGAAAGAUGGUGAACUAUGCCUGAAUAGGGUGAAGCCAGAGGAAACUCUGGUGGAGGCUCGCAGCGGUUCUGACGUGCAAAUCGAUCGUCAAAUUUGGGCAUAGG
rnacentral:rRNA from 1 species